CAUACCCUACUGUUGUGCUGCACAGAGAGGCUGACCGAAAGACUGCUGUGUCUCUUGGCAUCAUGGGAAACAUUCUCUGUGGCAUCCUUGAUGAUCAUCGCGUGGACGUCGUCGGGCAUGUCAGAACAUUCCUCCAAAGUUGUCCUGGCUUUCAUCUUACAAGGGAUGAUGUUCAGCUGCUGUUUGACUUCAGUCGUCAAUGUGGGCUGAUGGAGGCGGCGGCAGGCAACUACGCUAAUCUGUGACAGUGGACAGUUUCUGUGUUCAGUUUGAAGUUAUCAUAUGGUGACCCUAAAUAUUUCUGAUUCUCUGGUAAAACUGUUUAUUUUCACAAUGUAACCUUCUUAGUUUUUCAUUUUAUUGCAUUGUAUUUUACUUUGUUGCAAUGUUGUUGCAUAUGUCAUAUGUUCGAUUUUUCUAUUUGUACAUAGUAAUUGAGACAAUAAGUUAGGAUACCUUAACAUGCGCUAUCUGAGCUAGCUGGUGUUCUUAAAGACAACAACCUACACAUGUUGUUGACAUUCGUGGCAAGCAGUUUGAAUGUGGGGGAAUGAGAGUCGAGGAUAAUGGAGUUCCAGAGGAUACAAUGAUUAUAUGUAUGUGUUACUCCAAGACCAUAAUGCCAUCAGUGAUUUAGGUUAAGUGUGUCUAACAAACAGCAAUUAAGAAUACUGUUUUCAAAAUGCACAUACCAUGACACGGUCUUGUAGAAAUUACACAUAAUUAGGAACAAUUGUUUGCAAAUGAUCUAGCGUUUGUCUCCCUUUUAAAUAACUCAUAACUAGCUUACAGAAACGAACUCAAUCUUAUUUUAUAUGAAUCAAUAAAUUUUCAAAUUUGGUCAAACAACAUCACUUUGAAUCAAAAGCAAAUAAAACUAAAGAGAUCAU